rnacentral:rRNA from 1 species
GUGGGGAAUCUUCCGCAAUGGACGAAAGUCUGACGGAGCAACGCCGCGUGAGUGAAGAAGGUUUUCGGAUCGUAAAGCUCUUUCGUUAGGGACGAACGUGCUCUUUGUGAAUAAUGAGGAGUAAUGACGGUACCUAAAUAAGAAGCCACGGCUAACUACGUGCCAGCAGCCGCGGUAAUACGUAGGUGGCAAGCGUUGUCCGGAAUUAUUGGGCGUGAAGCGCGCGCAGGCGGGAUGUCAAGUCUGACUUAAAAGUGCGAGGCUCAACCUCGUGAGGAGACAGAUACUGGUAUACUUGAGUGUCGGAGAGGAAAGUGGAAGUCCAAGUGUAGCGGUGAAAUGCGUAGAGAUUUGGAAGAACACCAGUGGCGAAGGCGACUUUCUGGACGAUGUCUGACGCUGAGGCGCGAAAGCUAGGGGAGCGAACGGGAUUAGAUACCCCAGUAGUCC